CUCCCUCUCUCCCUCCCUUCCUACUAAAAACCAAUAAGGCUAGGGAGCCUAUCUGCAUAGUUCUGUGAAUGUCUCGGAACAAAGCAAUACACAGAAGCUAAUGCUCUCAUCCUGUGUAAGAUACAAAUCUUGUCACAUCAUGGACCAUCGUGGAGCAUGAAGCUAUUUCUAAUGUGAUGGGGGAAAUGUUUCUAGCAGAAGAGCAAGACAUGGUCCUGGUGCAUGAAAGGAGCCUAAGAAAGAAGAGUGAAAGCUGCACGUGUUCUACCUCCAGAAAGCCAUAAAAGAGAAAAGAAUGUUGUACCAAACUAAGCAAAUGAAGCAUGAAAUGAAAAGCCGGUUGAGCUGGGAGGUAUAAAGAAUGGAAAGGAAGCAGCUACCACCCCUGGUAACCCCAUCAAUCCGGAGAAGCUUCGCAGAGUUACACUGUGCUCUGUCGGGAAGGAAAUGAAUUUUCCUCAUUGUACACAUUCCGAGAAAAAUGAGGCUAAGACUAUUUCAAAGGAUGUUCUACCUAAUUCGAAUGGGCUUUAAGUGCCAUCUUCACAAUAGCGCCAGAGUCUGGUGUCAGCAAACUGAACAAAUAGAGCUACAGGGAGCGAAUGGGGCUGGGUGCCUCUCCAAAACAUAUGCAGAUGAACUUGAGAUUUCAGAGGACGGUUAAUCCUACACAGCAGUCAAGUGCCUUCCCAGGGGGCUCCCUUCCAAACACUGGCUGCCACGUCAAACCAAAGGGGACGAGCAAUCAGACUCACCUCAAACGCCAGUUAAGAAAGCCGGCCUUACUUAAGCAAUCAAGGGCAAGUGAUCAGCCAACUCUGCUUUCUUUCCUUUCUCUUGGAUCAUUUAUAGACCUUGUGGCCGUGGCCACCACAUUGAGAAGCCCUUGGUCUCUACUUGGACUCACUAUAGCAGAGCAUCCUGGCAGGCAUCCACUGUGCCAUAUGCUUUCGGGAAGUCUGGAUGCUGAAUGUGGUGGCUGUGGGGAAUUGAGCCUUAUUGCUUCAUAAGAUUCCUGGUGGUAGAACUAUUCUGAACAAGAACACGUCCGUCCCCAUAGGUGUGCUCCAAGAAUCACAGAAUAAGAAGGGACUUCGGAGAGAGCCUCACACAGUUGGGCAAUGGGAGCCCAGAGAGGCAAGGAAGGCUCCUUGCCCAAAGUCUUGUACAUCUGAAUCUGCAACUCCUGACUAUUUUUGAGUCUUAUGCUCCAGGCUAAAACUUGUGACUUUAAGUGUGAUGUUCUCGGUGAUGAUUAAUCUAGGAUGUUUCUGUUGUUUUCUUACCGUCAAAGAAUUAACAUCAAAAGGAAAGGAAGGAAGAAAUGUAGAAGUGAAGGCAAGAAGGAAGGAAGGAGGAAAGGAAGGAAGGAAAAUAUAGGCUUUGGGUAAAAAUAAGUUUCUACUCAACACUGACAAAGGUACAGGUUUUGGACAUUGGUUUCCUAAUCUGUAAAUGAGGAAUAGUCAUCACAUCGCUGUCCUGGCUGGUUUUGUGUGUCAACUUGACACAAGCUGGAGUUAUCACAGAGAAAGGAAAGAAAAUGCCUCCAUGAGAUCUAGCUGUAAAUGGAUUAGUGAUCAAGAGUGGGAGGGCCCAGUGUGGGUGGUGCCAUCCCUGGACUGGUGGUCCUGGGUUCUACAAGAAAACAAGCUGAGCAAGCCAGGGGAAGCAAGCCAGGGGAACAUCCCUCCACGGCUCUGCAUCAGCUCCUGCUUCCUGCCCUGUGUGAGUUCCAGUCCUGACUUCCUUUGGUGACGAACAGCAAUGUGAUAGUAUAAGCUGAAUAAACCCUUUCCUCCCCAAC
rnacentral:lncRNA from 1 species